CAGCAGCCACGGGAAUACGUAGGUGGCAAGCGUUGUCCGGAAUUAUUGGGCGUAAAGCGCGCGCAGGCGGAUAGGUCAGUCUGUCUUAAAAGUUCGGGGCUUAACCCCGUGAUGGGAUGGAAACUGCCAAUCUAGAGUAUCGGAGAGGAGAGUGGAAUUCCUAGUGUAGCGGUGAAAUGCGUAGAUAUUAGGAAGAACACCAGUGGCGAAGGCGACUCUCUGGUCUGUAACUGACGCUGGGGAGCGAAAGCGUGGGGAGCGAACAGGAUUAGAUACCCCCGUAGUCCCUGUCUCUUAUACA
rnacentral:rRNA from 1 species